GGGUUGUGAGGUUAAGCGACUAAGCGUACACGGUGGAUGCCCUGGCAGUCAGAGGCGAUGAAGGACGUGCUAAUCUGCGAUAAGCGCCGGUAAGGUGAUAUGAACCGUUAUAACCGGCGAUUUCCGAAUGGGGAAACCCAGUGUGACUCGUCACACUAUCAUUAACUGAAUCCAUAGGUUAAUGAGGCGAACCGGGGGAACUGAAACAUCUAAGUACCC
rnacentral:rRNA from 3 species